AUGCUGGCUGAAGCCAGAACAAUACUUUACCUGGGCUGUGUUAGGGCCAGUGUGUACUGUCCUAGCACUGAACUGGAUAUUGUUCUGCGUUACAAUCUGGAGUUUGAGACCUACCUUGGCUAACAUGAAGAGUGAUGUCUCACAGUCCAAAGACACCAGACUGAUCAUCUUUAAGAUCCUGGCACAGUUUGUGAUCCUGGGUUGUACCUGGGUGCUGGGCUUGUUCCAGUCCACCAUGGUCUUCAAGUACCUCUUCAUCGUGCUCAACUCCCAGCAGGGCACCUUC